UCUCCUCCAUCCCUCAAAUCUCCUCUUUCUCUCUCUUGCCUUUCUCUAUCUCUCUGUCAAUCCAUUUCCAGUCAUUGGGCUUCUCGGAUUCGUUCUUCUCUUUGGUCUUGGCAAGCCAGGUAAGUAUUUAGUUGUAGAUGUUAAAUUUAUCAGCUUGAAUCUCAUAGAAUCUAUAAAAUAUGUGGUUUUCAAAAUUAAUUUUCGAUUUUGCAGAUUGUUGGGGUUUUUUCAAUCUGAGGCCUCAGUCUAUCAGUCUCAUUUCAAGAAGACCUAAAGCACUCCCUUUCCCCUGCUUUGACUUUAAAACAUUUUUGGGCUUGGUUUGAGGAGCUACGAAAGAAGCGAAUGGCAGAGUUGAGGCAGGCUUUAGAGCAUUCAGAAGACUCAAUAGGGUAUUGAUUAUAUUCUUUUGGUUGUGGAUCGAAUUGGCAAGGAGCAUUGCAAAGUUAAUUAACUUGAUUAUUAAUAGCAAGAGGUUGGUGGUAAAGCGACACCAAGCGAAGGAUAGUCUCGCAAUGUACCACAGUCAAACAAUAUUCAUUCCCCUAAGAGUAUUGCACCAGAAAAAAGACAUAACUUUACAGAAGGGAAGAAUACUUGCUACUUGCUUGACUGGGCAGAUGUAAUUGUUGCUGAAGGUCGUUGGGAUUCUAGUGAUCCAAAGUUAACUAUACAUGGAAAGCCUCUUAGACCAGACUUUAUGGGAGUAUGGGUUGAUGCUGAUAUUGUACCAGAAUCUUACUUAUUUCGUCCUAAUAAUGCGAUGCUUACAAUACAAGA